CAGCAGCCGCGGUAAUACGAAGGGGGCUAGCGUUGCUCAGAAUGACUGGGCGUAAAGGGCGCGUAGGCGGAUGGCACAGUCAGAUGUGAAAUUCCCGGGCUUAACCUGGGGGCUGCAUUUGAUACGUGUUGUCUAGAGUGAGGAAGAGGGUCGUGGAAUUCCCAGUGUAGAGGUGAAAUUCGUAGAUAUUGGGAAGAACACCGGUGGCGAAGGCGGCGACCUGGUCCAUUACUGACGCUGAGGCGCGAAAGCGUGGGGAGCAAACAGGAUUAGAUACCCUAGUAGUCCCUGUCUCUUAUAC
rnacentral:rRNA from 1 species